UGGAGAUGAGUUGAACUCAACAGAGAAACCAGUAGAUUAUGAUAGAUGGAGAUGAGUUGAACUCAACAGAGAAACCAGUAGAUUAUGAUAGAUGGAGAGGAGUUGAACUCAACAGAGAAACCAGUAGAUUAUGAUAGAUGGAGAUGAGUUGAACUCAACAGAGAAACCAGUAGAUUAUGAUAGAUGGAGAUGAGUUGAAUGUUCUGGACUUCCAUGUUCAUAUCAAAGGCUUCAUGCACACUGUAUAAACAGGUGUAUACAGGUAUUGAUAUGAACAGGUGUAGAUAUAAACAGGUGUAUACAGGUGUAGAUAUGAACAGGUGUAGAUAUGAACAGGUGUAUACAGGUAUAGAUAUGAACAGGUGUAUACAGGUGUAGAUAUGAACAGGUGUAGAUAUGAACAGGUGCCUCUACAGGUGUGUGUAGGUUGUGUCUACAGGUGCCUCUACAGGUGUGUGUAGGUUGUGUCUACAGGUGUGUCUGCAGGUGUCCCAGGUCAUGCUGGAGGUACAGACAGGAAGGGUCACCAGGUCAGAAGGUAGAGGUCACUCCAACCUGAUUAUUUUCCUCUCUCUCUCUC
ensembl:lncRNA